CGAACGGCUGGCGGCGUGCCUAAUACAUGCAAGUCGAACGAACUCUGGUAUUGAUUGGUGCUUGCAUCAUGAUUUACAUUUGAGUGAGUGGCGAACUGGUGAGUAACACGUGGGAAACCUGCCCAGAAGCGGGGGAUAACACCUGGAAACAGAUGCUAAUACCGCAUAACAACUUGGACCGCAUGGUCCGAGUUUGAAAGAUGGCUUCGGCUAUCACUUUUGGAUGGUCCCGCGGCGUAUUAGCUAGAUGGUGGGGUAACGGCUCACCAUGGCAAUGAUACGUAGCCGACCUGAGAGGGUAAUCGGCCACAUUGGGACUGAGACACGGCCCAAACUCCUACGGGAGGCAGCAGUAGGGAAUCUUCCACAAUGGACGAAAGUCUGAUGGAGCAACGCCGCGUGAGUGAAGAAGGGUUUCGGCUCGUAAAACUCUGUUGUUAAAGAAGAACAUAUCUGAGAGUAACUGUUCAGGUAUUGACGGUAUUUAACCAGAAAGCCACGGCUAACUACGUGCCAGCAGCCGCGGUAAUACGUAGGUGGCAAGCGUUGUCCGGAUUUAUUGGGCGUAAAGCGAGCGCAGGCGGUUUUUUAAGUCUGAUGUGAAAGCCUUCGGCUCAACCGAAGAAGUGCAUCGGAAACUGGGAAACUUGAGUGCAGAAGAGGACAGUGGAACUCCAUGUGUAGCGGUGAAAUGCGUAGAUAUAUGGAAGAACACCAGUGGCGAAGGCGGCUGUCUGGUCUGUAACUGACGCUGAGGCUCGAAAGUAUGGGUAGCAAACAGGAUUAGAUACCCUGGUAGUCCAUACCGUAAACGAUGAAUGCUAAGUGUUGGAGGGUUUCCGCCCUUCAGUGCUGCAGCUAACGCAUUAAGCAUUCCGCCUGGGGAGUACGGCCGCAAGGCUGAAACUCAAAGGAAUUGACGGGGGCCCGCACAAGCGGUGGAGCAUGUGGUUUAAUUCGAAGCUACGCGAAGAACCUUACCAGGUCUUGACAUACUAUGCAAAUCUAAGAGAUUAGACGUUCCCUUCGGGGACAUGGAUACAGGUGGUGCAUGGUUGUCGUCAGCUCGUGUCGUGAGAUGUUGGGUUAAGUCCCGCAACGAGCGCAACCCUUAUUAUCAGUUGCCAGCAUUAAGUU
rnacentral:rRNA from 2 species